GACCCUGUCCCAGAACAGAGAAGCGUAACAGCACACAGAGCACUGUCUAUAAAAUCGAGCCGUUAGAAGCUCUAAGUGGGGAAUUUGGACCCAAACUGCUGCUGGACAGUGAGCCCCGGGAUUUGCCGGUGUCCAGGCAUGCCUCCAUCCUCCUCUGCUUCCUCCGAGGAUCGAGUGAGUGACUCGUGCUCUUUUAUAUGAUUUUUGAGUCUAGAUUAUGAUGGUUAUAUUCAUACAGCAAAGCAUGUAUUAAGAUCUGACCAAAUCUGCAGAGAGUCCAGGUGAUUAGAAAUUAUAAGUUAAGUUGUAUUAUAAAUUCUGUAUUAUGUUAAUUAUAGGUUGUACUAUAUUGAUUCUGCUUGUAGAAAUCCUGUGCCAUUCUCAUCGUAAAUUCUGUGCUAUACUAACCAUAAUAUUCUGUUAAGAAAAUAAAACUGUAACUAGAGUUCAGUGCUGCCAUCAAUCUGCCAAGGAUCCCUAAAAGAACUUGUUUGUGCCCUUCGUGUUGGGUAACUUAAAAGAAAAAAACCAGUAAUAUCUGCAUUGACGGAACGUCGGUUUCGCACACCUCAGGCUGUGAGUUGGAGUUGGUAGAACGGUAUUUCAUCCUACAGCUCAUGUUCAGACAGCUGAAAGGUAAGCUUAGUUUUCUGUACAGGCCGUGCGGAGCCCAUCCUACUGCUCUCAGCAACAGGACAGCUGCUUUAAAUGUGGAAACUGCUACUGUUCUCUCCUUGCCAGGUCAGAAUGAACGAAGUAACAUCAGCUGGCUGGCUGUGAUGGCUUCAGCAGACAGGUGCUAGUACUUUCAUUGUGCGGUGUGUUCUGAGUACGCACGGAGUAGCCCGUGUUCCCAAGCAUCUGCAGCAGGUAACAGCUCGUGCGAACGCAGCCGCCGGAGCGGCACGCUGGGGCUGCAAGCGUUAUGAAUUAAAAGCGGCAGCGAUCUGUCUGCGCUGCCCCGGGUAGGUCCUGCUCGACCCAGCAGCAGAGGGAAGCACAGCACGGGGCUGGAGGCAGGCUCGCAAGCUCUGUUUGGGUUUGAUCAGACUCGUUCCUCAAACACUAAGCAAGCUUCCAUUUCCUUGUACCAUUUACCUGCUUCUGAAACGGGGAUAGUGCUACACGAGGUAAAAGGAAUUCACGCUGUUCGGGACUUGGUUGUACGAGGCAAUAUCGCAAAGGGGGCCGCGUGUCCCGGGAACGCUUGCGUGUUGACAGAGCAAUUCCAAAUGUUUGUGUUGCAUCGGUUCUGCAAAUACUUUUUGUUACAGUGCACGAAAGAUAUCAUACCCGUCAACAUUAGCUUUGUAAAGAGAGACCGUUUUCUUCUGUUGACUAAUUAUCCAGUGAAUAUAUUCAGUUUGAAGAGACACUUCAAUAAUUUAGCAGGCGUGUGCCAGGUAAUAUAGGAGCUUUUGUCUUACUAGCGGCACAGAUCUUCAAUCAAGUGUAACUCGAUCGCUGGCUUUAUGCAUUCAAGGAAGUGUUUCGUAUAGCUCCUGUAUCAAGUGCUGCUGAAUAACAGGCCUAGAUAAAAGAUUAAGGUAAUGCUCUUAACUGUGAACAGGGAAAGUUUACCCUUUACUGUCCAGUAUAUCUUUUGCAGGCAAUAACUGCUUCGUACGUGUGAAGUAUGUGUGUGCUGAGAUCCAGUCAUGAGUUUGUUGUAGGAAAAGAGAAAUGCUGGAAUCUGCCUGCGAAAUACUCGGGUCAGGUCAGUCUCUCCUCCUGACUUUAUGGUGUAUUGCCAAAUGCUUCGUAGUUUGAUACUGAAUGCUUUCUGUCAUUAAUAUUUCUUAAAUGCAAAUCAUUAGGAGUGCUGCAUUCUUUGCUUUGCUGGACCAGAUAAGGAGAACGAUAAUGGUUAUGAAGCAAAACUCAGGUAAGGGAUUUUCUCCAAAGCCACCCAAGGGAUUUAAUCACAGUUGUGCCGUCUCCCAGAAAGGUGUAAGAUCAAAUGUCCUUUUCUGAGCCAAUGUCAACUGUUUCAGUCAUCCUUCUCUGUUGGCCCACAACAACUAAUCUACAACAAAGGGGAUGCAUUUUGUUUAAAACAGACCGUGACUAUCACACUCUGUAAAGUGCGGGAGAAAUGCAGUAGUUCAAAACAUUCUGAAAUGACUGAAACCAGAGUUAAAAUGCAAUCUUCUUUUCUUUGGAAGGGCAGCUGCCUGCCAUGCUCCUGCUGUAACACAGGGGGGGAUUUUGAUGGACCCGAAAGGACGCAUAUCACUUAGGAACAGGUAAUUGCUUUCUGCAGACAUCUGACUCUUUUCAUCGGAGGUCUCCUUUUUCUACAUAAUGUUCAUUCACGGUCUAAAGCAGCAGGGCUGCAGACAGUAAUUGGUUGUUUAUGCAUUAAUGUUUAAUUUAUGGAACAGUACCUAUAUAUUUGGAAAGAACAACUUUUACAUCUGUUGAGCGUUGUCAGACUUCAACCAUUAGCACGUAGCAUUUCAGAAGCACAUUCACUGGACUGAAAGAGCUUUUCACAAAGGCACAGAAAGGUGGGAAGCAUCUAUUAAAAGAGAACAGCUUAGCAAAACCUUUUUCAUUGAACCCUUCUCCCAUCGAGCUUUUGUUCAGCCAUAGGCUGUGUGAUGCAGUUCGAGUCAUUCUGUAAUGCUGACCUCUGUCUUUCACAAUGGCUUAGGGCAUCCAGUCCAUCAUCUGAGCACCUCUCUUUGGUGGUCCUGCCAGCAGCAGUGAGGAAAUGAAAGAGAAGAUGAUUGAACUCUCCAAACUAUUCUGAACAUGGCUUGUCCCAGGGAAAAGUUCCCCAAUAGUAACUUUCCUAUCAUGGAGUCAUCUGAGAACCUACUUGCUACUAUCUGACUCUUACUAGGCCUCCUUAUCUUCAUGGACAGUGCUGUCAAAGCUGUCCUUCUGAUAAGGAAACAGAAGAGUUGUUUUUUCUUUUUGUAGGCUGAUGAAAAUGUCCUUUGAGGUAGGACCGGCCUUGGCACCCCCGGGCUGACAAAAGGAAAACAAUACUCCAGGAAGCAGAAUGGAUUUCCUGAUUUAGGACUAAUCCAUGCGCUUCAUUCAUGAGCUUGACUUUACUUCAAAAAUACAGAUCAACUGAUCUAUCAAUCUUUUUCAGUCUUUCUGAGAAUGCAUGUAAUGUACACCCUCUUUAUUGUCUUAUGCUCUUCUCUAUAUGCUUAUCCACCAACACAAAGCAUGAUGUCACUGGGCCUGUGACUUAGCAGGAAACGGUCUGCCUAUGUUUCAGUUGUCAUGUUCAGCUGAUGUCAUUGUUCGCUGCAGUGCUGAGGACAUCACGCUGCUGGUGAUUGCCCGUUGAGCUACUGAUGGCUUUUACUCAUCGCCGAUGCUGGGCUGCUCCAGCCGCCUGGACGUGGGCGUUGUAGUGUGCGGAACGGGAUGGCAUCACUGCAAUGAGCUUUGACCCUUGCAGUCUGUGACCGUGCUGCCCUUCCGUGGCUGCGUGGUAACUCAGCUCUUGGUCAAAAGGCACAGUUUAGGCCUUUUGAGAUUGUGUAGAAGCUGGAAUCAUUCUGCCCAGAUUUCAGUCCAGGUAACUGGUUUUCUUUCUAAAUACCUUGCCGGGCUCCAUGGAGAUAGCUUUUGUAUCCAGUGCUGAUACCUUGGUUUGAUGUCUUGACAGUUCAAUUGUGUUCACACCCUGUUCAGAGCCGCUGCAACGAAUCUUUGCUGCCUUGUGUUUGAAUAGAGUAGACACGGUAACUAGAAGGCUCUAAGAGUUUCUGACUAAACCUUUGAAGAAGGUUAAUUACAUACCAUGCCUAUCGUGUAUUUUUUUUUUUGCGUAUGGUAUUCUGCACUUGGCCACGUUCAUUGCGAGCAUUAAAUACCUUCUAAAAGUAUCAGAAAUUAGAAAGGCGAUACCAGAGUAGCUGGAUUAUUUAUCUCAUUGGAUGUGAUGAGGAGGUCUAAAACACAGCAGGUUACUCGCAUCAUGAAAACAGAUCGUUCUGUGACCACUAGAGCCGAUGGUCUGCGUCUGAUGUAACUAGCGCAGCCGGCAAAGGAAAUAGAGCUUACUCAGCAUCCCCAGUUCUGAAAUAUUUCAGAAGAGGAAAUAGUCCUGUUGGAAGAUUCCUACUGAAGCAAAAGCCUAUUCAGAGAGGAGUCCUGGUUAGGAACAUCCUCUACUCAACUGUUUUGCUGAAAGCAGCCCAAAGAGGAGGAAUUUUUAUUUUUUAUUCUUGUUACAGCAGCAGCUCUGGGUUAAGCAAUGGUUAUGGUGUGUUCAGGGCAUCAAAGCAGAAAAACUGAGACCAAGGGCCCAGAUGCAGAAUUUCCUGCUAUAACCUAAACCAAAUGCCACUGACUGCAGCUUCCCUCAAGAUCUCCCAGCUACGCUACUGUUCACAGCCUAGCUGGUGGCCAGCAUCCAGACUGAGCAUUAGUAAAACUAACAAACCAAACGGUUCCCACAGUAAGUCCCUUGCUCUCCAGCUAACUUAUUUAACUGUGGAGCUUCUAAGAGGGACGUUUCAUCUACUGUUGUUGCGAUAACCAGCAAGCGGGUAUCCAUGGCAAAACCCAAGGGCACUGCCUUACAGCAAUGAAGUCUUGGCUAAGCAGCAGCAGAAACCGAAAAAGGUCAGAGCUCCACAGUAGCCCUGCUCCAUUUUAAAAACAAAGCCCAUUAGUUUUGUAAGAAAUGAGGGAGGUUCUUCAGUGGCUUUCAGAUCAGGCCUGGGAGGUCUCAGCACAAAGACCCCAGGGGAAGAAAGGGAAAUGCUCGGACAAGUGCACAAGGAGAGCGCCACAGAGCUUCACUGGCGUUCGUUCUACCCCUCCCUGCCAAGGGAGGGACAGGGACAGAAAAGACGUUGGGGCUUUGCAGCAGGCAAGGAACAGGGCUAGCUUUUCCCUUGCAAUGAAUUUGCUACUCUUUCCCCAUCUGUCUGUCCUGGUUUUGCGCUCCCAGAUGUACAACUGCCUCUGCCAUACUUUGUUUUUCUUCCUUUAGACAAGGAGCAUUUCUACGGGGUUCUGUGCCUGCCUGCUCUUGCAGUGCCACCUUCUCUAAGAUUUUCGGUGGAUUCCAGGACACUUGGUUCGGUGAGCUGCAGCCGCUGCAUUUCACAUCUUGGAUAAUGCUGCUGGAGUCCACCAGAAGGAGCCUUUGUGUAUCAGUUUUGCAUAAGCCUCAAGGAACAUAUUAACAUCCUGCUCUGGGAUUUGUGCUCAGCGUUGUCCAGCGUUCCCCAAGGCAGCGUCGUACUUUGAGAUACGCCUCUCUCUGCAGGAGCUCUCUUGGACCAGAGAAACUUGAACCGUGCUCUUCUCAGGAAAGAAGAGGAACUGGGAUUCCUCCGUUGAGAGAUGCGGGGCUCGUCUUUGAAGGGGAAAAAACGUAUGUGAUGUUUUUCUUCCCCCCGACCAGCGUCAAGAACUGAGAUACCUCUGGUAGCUUUUGAGAACUGUGAGCCUUGCUUUCCCUGCAGAGGAGCAUGAGCCUGUUUGGAUGAUUUGAAUCCUUGCCAUCAUUCGGAGCAGAAUGAAGCUCUGUAAAAGGACAGCGACUGAAUGCCAACUGGGCUGUCGUUAGCUCGGGCGGCCCAGGAAGCAGCUGAUGUGCAGUUUGCGGUGCAGACAGCAGGGGUAUGACUCAGUGGUGGAGAGGCUGUAUCCCGACCCCAAAGGUGUCUCCCGGGCUUUGCUUUGGGAUGGACCGGGGACAGCCAGUGGCAGCGCGUGCCCACACCGCUGCACACACCACAGGCUCCGAGGAUUCCGGCGUGACCGUCCCUUUUGCAGAAGGCUGUUAAUGUUGCCGUGAUGUUGGGCGCUGCUGGCCCAGCUCCAUCUUUCCUCCACAGUAAUCAAUGGAAACGUGUCCUAGUCUUGGAAUCUAGUG